UGGGGAAUAUUGCACAAUGGGGGAAACCCUGAUGCAGCGACGCCGCGUGAGCGAAGAAGGUUUUCGAAUCGUAAAGCUCUGUCCUAUGAGAAGAUAAUGACGGUAUCAUUGGAGGAAGCCCCGGCUAAAUACGUGCCAGAAGCCGCGGUAAUACGUAUGGGGCGAGCGUUGUCCGGAAUUAUUGGGCGUAAAGGGUACGUAGGCGGUAUAUUAAGUCAGGUGUGAAAGCGUGAGGCUUAACCUCAUUAAGCACUUGAAACUGAUAGGCUUGAGUGAAGGAGAGGAAAGUGGAAUUCCUAGUGUAGCGGUGAAAUGCGUAGAUAUUAGGAGGAAUACCGGUGGCGAAGGCGACUUUCUGGACUUGAACUGACGCUGAGGCACGAAAGCGUGGGGAGCAAACAGG
rnacentral:rRNA from 1 species